AGGAGUCAAGAGUGGGAGUGUCGCUGGGAUGGGGAUCAUGGGAGAAGUCAGAGAAACCAGAGCCACCAAGCUGCAGCUGAUUGACUGAUCCCUGCAAGGUGCACCUAAAAGGAGAUUAUAUGCAUCGCUCCUGAUGAGGCGAUAUAGUCGCAGAAACGCGUCGAGCCAACGCCAUCCUAGAUGCUAUACGUUAUCAUAUAUGAUGAGAUCUAGCGAAAAUGUUUUGUAUUUGAUAUUGAUAUAUUUUGAUAUAUUUUAUAUAUUUUAUAUUAUGUCUUUAGAUGGAGCCUGCUGGCCAAGAUAUUUUGUAUAACUUGUGUUCAUUUAUUAAAAUUGUUUUUUCAAACUGA